rnacentral:rRNA from 1 species
GACGAACGCUGGCGGCGUGCCUAAUACAUGCAAGUUGAGCGCUGAAGGUUGGUACUUGUACCAACUGGAUGAGCAGCGAACGGGUGAGUAACGCGUGGGGAAUCUGCCUUUGAGCGGGGGACAACAUUUGGAAACGAAUGCUAAUACCGCAUAAAAACUUUAAACACAAGUUUUAAGUUUGAAAGAUGCAAUUGCAUCACUCAAAGAUGAUCCCGCGUUGUAUUAGCUAGUUGGUGAGGUAAAGGCUCACCAAGGCGAAGAUACAUAGCCGACCUGAGAGGGGGAUCGGCCAAAUUGGGAAUGAGACACGGCCCAAAAGCCUACGGGAGGCAGCAGUAGGGAAACUUCGGCAAUGGACGAAAGUCGGACCGAGCAACGCCGGGUGAGUGAAGAAGGGUUUCGGAUCGUAAAACUCGGUUGGUAGAGAAGAACGUUGGUGAGAGUGGAAAGCUCAUCAAGUGACGGUAACUACCCAGAAAGGGACGGCUAACUACGUG